rnacentral:rRNA from 1 species
UACGGGGGGAGCAAGCGUUGUUCGGAUUUACUGGGCGUAAAGGGCGCGUAGGCGGCGCAACAAGUCACUUGUGAAAUCUCCGGGCUUAACCCGGAGCGGCCAAGUGAUACUGUCGUGCUAGAGUGCGGAAGGGGCUACUGGAAUUCUCGGUGUAGCGGUGAAAUGCGUAGAUAUCGAGAGGAACACCUGCGGCGAAGGCGGAUCUCUGGGCCUUACCUGACGCUGAGGUGCGAAAGCGUGGGGAGCAAACAGG